AAAAAUUUAGUUAAAACUAUAACAUUAACUUGUCAAGUUAAAAUCAUCAAUUUAUGAUAAUUUUUA
rnacentral:tRNA from 1 species